GCACUGCCGAGGAGUCCCACAUAAGGACGAAACAGAUGUCCAGUGC
rfam:Schistosoma rodhaini strain Burundi genome assembly, scaffold: SROB_scaffold0007971